rnacentral:rRNA from 1 species
UACAGAGGGGGCAAGCGUUAUUCGGAAUUAUUGGGCGUAAAGGGCGCGUAGGCGGCCUGGCAAGUGGAAGGUGAAAUCCCUCGGCUUAACCGAGGAACUGCCCUCCAAACUGCUUGGCUUGAGUCCGGGAGAGGUGAGUGGAAUUCCCAGUGUAGCGGUGAAAUGCGCAGAUAUCAGGAGGAACACCGAUGGCGAAGGCAGGUCUCUGGGCCACUACUGACGCUGAGAAGCGGAAAGCAUGGGGAGCGAAACAGG